rfam:Eubacterium plexicaudatum ASF492 genomic scaffold acLZb-supercont1.2, whole genome shotgun sequence.
UCUGGUGGCAAUGCGACAAGGGGAAACACCCGUACCCAUACCGAACACGAUGGUUAAGACCUUGUCGGCCGAUGAUACUCGGCUGGAGACGGCCCGGGAAAGCAGGAGGCUGCCAGAU